UGGAAGCAACAACUCCGAGUGUCUAAGACAAGGCUUAUUUUUAGAGUAAAUUCCUAGAAGUGGGAUUUCUGGAACAAAAGAGAUGGAGUCUAUCUAUGUCAUCUAGGCUGGUCUCAAGCUCCUAAGCUCAAGCAAUCCCUCCCGUCUCAGGUACUCCUCAUAAGCAGCUGGGACUACACGCAUGUUCUACCAUACUUGGCUUUAUUCAUUUUUCUAUCAGGUGUUUUUGCCUCUGUUUUUGGCCCUCACUUUUUUUUUUUUUUGAGGCGGACUCUCCCUCUGUCUCCCAGGUUGGAGUGCAGUGGCGCGAUCUUGGCUCACUGCAAGCUCUGUCUCUUGGGUUCACGCCAUUCUCCUGCCUCAGCCUCCUGAGUAGCUGGGACCACAGGCGCCCACCACCAGGCCCGGCUAAUUUUUUUGUAUUUUUAGUAGAGACGGGGUUUCACUGUGUUAGCCAGGAUGGUCUCGAUCUCCUGACCUCAUAAUCCGCCCGUCUUGGCUUCCCAAAGUGCUGGGAUUACAGGCGUGAGCCACCGUGCCCAACCGGCCCUCACUUUUUAAGAUUUCCUUGUGUAUUAUAGACAUUAGAACUUCAAUUGUGAUAUAUGUUGCAGAUAUUUUUCUAAAACUUUUGUUUAAUACCACUACUUUAACUAGUUAGCAACUAGCUAUAAAUAUGUAUGCUUGUGUUAACUGUUAAUGAACUCUGUUGCUUACUCCUGUGCCUGUGUGGGAAAUGAUUAUAAACCUCAAAUGUCUUUAAUUUAGCCUAGAUUAAAAUUAAAUUUAAGUAGACUUUCCAACAAAUGGUAUUGGAGCAAUUGGACACAAAGGCAAUAAAAAAAUACCCA
rnacentral:lncRNA from 10 species